rnacentral:rRNA from 1 species
GGUACGCCCGUUUGAGUGUCAUU